AGAGUUUGAUCCUGGCUCAGGAUGAACGCUGGCGGCGUGCUUAACACAUGCAAGUCGAGCGAAGCACUUUCAAUGAUCCUUCGGGUGAUUUGAUUGUGACUGAGCGGCGGACGGGUGAGUAACGCGUGAGUAACCUGCCUCAUACAGGGGAAUAACAGUUAGAAAUGACUGCUAAUGCCGCAUAAGCGCACAGGACCGCAUGGUCCGGUGUGAAAAACUCCGGUGGUAUGAGAUGGACUCGCGUCUGAUUAGCUAGUUGGUGGGGUAACGGCCCACCAAGGCGACGAUCAGUAGCCGGCCUGAGAGGGUGAACGGCCACAUUGGGACUGAGACACGGCCCAAACUCCUACGGGAGGCAGCAGUGGGGAAUAUUGCACAAUGGGGGAAACCCUGAUGCAGCGACGCCGCGUGAGUGAAGAAGUAUUUCGGUAUGUAAAGCUCUAUCAGCAGGGAAGAAAAUGACGGUACCUGACUAAGAAGCCCCGGCUAACUACGUGCCAGCAGCCGCGGUACUACGUAGGGGGCAAGCGUUAUCCGGAUCUACUGGGUGUAAAGGGAGCGUACACGGCUUUGCAACUCUGACGUGAAAAUCCGGGGCUCAACCCCGGAACUGCGUUGGAAACUGUGAGGCUUGAGUGCCGGAGAGUAAGCGGGAUUCCUAGUGUAGCGGUGAAAUGCGUAGAUAUUAGGAGGAACACCAGUGGCGAAGGCGGCUUACUGGACGGCAACUGACGUUGAGGCUCGAAAGCGUGGGGAGCANACAGGAUUAGAUACCCUGGUAGUCCACGCGGUAAACGAUGAAUACUAGGUGUUGGGGGACAAAGUCCUUCGGUGCCGCCGCAAACGCAUCAAGUAUUCCACCUGGGGAGUACGUUCGCAAGAAUGAAACUCAAAGGAAUUGACGGGGACCCGCACAAGCGGUGGAGCAUGUGGUUUAAUUCGAAGCAACGCGAAGAACCUUACCAAGUCUUGACAUCGAUCUGAAUGGGGAGUAAUGUUCCCAGUCUCUUCGGAGACAGAGAAGACAGGUGGUGCAUGGUUGUCGUCAGCUCGUGUCGUGAGAUGUUGGGUUAAGUCCCGCAACGAGCGCAACCCUUAUCUUCGGUAGCCAGCAUUUUGGAUGGGCACUCUGGAGAGACUGCCAGGGACAACCUGGAGGAAGGUGGGGAUGACGUCAAAUCAUCAUGCCCCUUAUGACUUGGGCUACACACGUGCUACAAUGGCGUAAACAAAGGGAAGCAGCCCUGUGAAGGUGAGCAAAUCCCAAAAAUCACGUCUCAGUUCGGAUUGUAGUCUGCAACUCGACUACAUGAAGCUGGAAUCGCUAGUAAUCGCGAAUCAGAAUGUCGCGGUGAAUACGUUCCCGGGUUCUUGUACACACCGCCCGUC
rnacentral:rRNA from 1 species